UACAGAGGUGGCAAGCGUUGUUCGGAAUUACUGGGCGUAAAGGGCGCGUAGGCGGUCCCGUCAGUCCCUUGUGAAAUCCCCCGGCUCAACUGGGGAACUGCAAGGGAUACUGCGGGGCUUGAGUUCGGGAGAGGGAAGCGGAAUUCCUGGUGUAGCGGUGAAAUGCGUAGAUAUCAGGAGGAACACCGGCGGCGAAGGCGGCUUCCUGGACCGAUACUGACGCUGAGACGCGAAAGCGUGGGGAGCAAACAGG
rnacentral:rRNA from 1 species